rnacentral:lncRNA from 1 species
UUAGUAUUUUUUUAUUAAUAUGUACUUUUUAUUUUGAUCCGAUUUUUAUACUUUUAAAAUUUUACAAAUAAUAACUCCUAAAAUUUACAACAUAAAAAUUAAAGAAAAGAUACAACUAUAAUAAAAUAAUCUUAUUUAAAAAAAUAAAAUUAAAAAAAAAAAUUGAUAAAAUUUUUUUUAAAAAAUGCCGGGGAAAAAAAAUUUAAAAAAACGCCUAAGGGGGGGGGGGGGGCGGGGGGGGGGCCUGGGAAGGACAAAAAAGAGGGGAAGAGAAAGGGCAAAGGGUGGUGUAAAUUUGAGGGUGGGGCCAGCUUGGGGGAGGGGGGUCUGACGCGGGAGGGCAAAAAGCAAGCUCCUUUCUGAGAUUGAGAGCCAGUCAUUCACUGCCAAGUUGCUUUCUUCGUGUCGUCGGUGAAAAAAAAAUGGUUGGACCCGCUGAAGGUGAAGGGUAGUACCGUAGUAGUAGCCAUCAAGGAUUAAGAUUAUCCGAGGAAAAAAGAAAAAAGAUUCAAUUGAAACAGUUGGAUGAUCAUUUAAUUUUUUUUUCUUUUUCUUUUUUUUUUUAUGAAGUCCUUCAUCCAAACACAAUUUAAGGAAAAGUAAAAUGGAACGGGAAUUAUUUAUACAUAUUGUUUUUAUAUGGGCAACCAAAAAAAAUUGAUAUAUUUUGCAGAUGAUGAAAUACUUUUAGUUUUAUUUUAAUCUCAUGUUAGGAGUAUUCGUACAGCACAAGCUUUUUAUUAGACAAUACUUUUAGUUUUAUUUUGAUCUCAAUAAAUGUUUAUCUCCAAUAAACAUACUUAAGUCAGAUUUUAUAUAUUAAACGCAAAAGAUAGAUGAAAUGGCCACAUUGACAGAAGAACAAUAGAGAGUUUACGUAGUUUAACCAUAUUGACUUACCAUUUCGGACGACAUCAAUAAUAUUAUAUUACUUGACUCAAAUGGUUACAUUAAUACAACUAUCUUUAAAGACUUGUAGAGGUAGAGAUAAGACUAUCUAUAAACCUUAUCUAAAUCUUUAAAUCAAUAAUCCUUAUCAGUAUUUUUAACGACAAGAUGAAUGGUGCACAGUAUAAUUUAUCGAAAUUAAUAAGGAUCCAGAUUCUAGAACUUUCCUCGUGUCUCAACUUUUUUUUUUAUGGGGUGCCCCAACUCUUGUUUUGUUGAGGACCAUUCAUUCACUGCCAAGUUGUCUUUUCUAUUUGUUGGCGAACAACAUUGUUUGGACAACCACUGAAGUUGAAGGGUAGUAGUAGCCAUCCACUGUGGUGGGUGUGACGCCUCUAGAGAGAAUAUUCUCUUCACUCUCAUCGAAAAGAAAAAAUAUUCAAUUGGAACUCUUAGAUGAUGAAUUAAAAUUUGCCUGUUCCUUUCCUUUUUCUCUACGGAGUCCUUUAUCCAAGCACAGCCUAAGAAAAAGCAAAAUAGAAUGGGAAUUAUUUUUACAUAUUGUUUUUAUAUGGGUAACCGAAAAAAUUGAUAUAUUUUACAAAUGCUUUUUCAUUUUUUUUUAAUUUUCUCAAUCCAACAUUUAAAUUCUUUCUUUCUUUUUCUUUAAACUAAAAUAAAUUUAAUUGUGAUAGAACAGUAAAAGUCCACUUAAUUUGUCAAAAACGUAUGAUUUGUGAAUUGAUAUAUUAAUUACUGUUCUCUUCUAGAAACUCAAAAAAAAAUAAAAAAUAAAAAUUGAGACAUAUAUCUAUCUUCUAGAACUACUUUUUGCUUUAUUAAAGUUGUUGGAUUGCUUCUAUUUGUAAUAAAUUUUGUGAAAUAUCUUCUAGGACUACUUUUUACUUUUCUUUAUUAUUUUUUUUAUUUUUUUAAUUCCUUGAUAAACCGUAAAAGUUAAGUGUUUUGACGAUAUAAAAAUAAUUUAUAACAAACUAUUUCAUUCCAAUGUAGACCUUUGUAUUAGACCCUCUAUUUCAAGAUAAAAUAUACUUACCCUUGUGAUUUUGAAUUUAAAAUUACUACUAUCACAUUUUCUUGUGCUAAUUUUUGUAUGAAAAUUUUGGGAAAAUAGUAUUUUUUUUUUUAAUUGAACCAUCUUCUAGAACUACAUUGCUGCUUAUCACAAAUGUGGGGUUGGUUUUUCUGCUUAUCCCAAUUUUGUGAUGUAAAUUUGGGUGUAGGUGUUGUUUAGACCUUCUAAAAUGGUAUGGAUAGUUUUUGUUUGGCUCCAUGUACAACUUUUUGAAAAUGAGUUUUUAGAAAAUAUAAAUCCCAUAAAAAUAAAUAAAUAAAUAAAAGGAAUUAUCAAGAAAAAUGGCAGACAGAGAAAUUCAAUUCUUGAUUUUAUUUAAUUACUAAUAAGUUAGUGAACUAUAUCUAUUUCUUGGAAUUAAUAACAGUAAUUUUCAUAACUUAUUUAUUGUUUGUAGGUUAACUAUAUUUAUUUGUUGGAAAAAUUUCAAAAAAAAAAUCCUAAAUUUUCAACCGAAUGUCUUAUAGACACUUGAACUUUAAACAUAUCAAUUAAACAUUUGAACUUUGACGUUUC